ACCCUGGCGCUAGGCCUAAGCAUGACGAUUUGGUUUUCAUGCUAUUGUAUAUGUGCCUGCCUCAAAACUUGUUACCAUAUUAUCACAUCACCCAUCUGAUG